rnacentral:rRNA from 1 species
AGAGUUUGAUCAUGGCUCAGGACGAACGCUGGCGGCGUGCCUAAUACAUGCAAGUAGAACGCUGAAGAGAGGAGCUUGCUCUUCUUGGAUGAGUUGCGAACGGGUGAGUAACGCGUAGGUAACCUGCCUUGUAGCGGGGGAUAACUAUUGGAAACGAUAGCUAAUACCGCAUAACAAUGGAUGACACAUGUCAUUUAUUUGAAAGGGGCAAUUGCUCCACUACAAGAUGGACCUGCGUUGUAUUAGCUAGUAGGUGAGGUAAUGGCUCACCUAGGCGACGAUACAUAGCCGACCUGAGAGGGUGAUCGGCCACACUGGGACUGAGACACGGCCCAGACUCCUACGGGAGGCAGCAGUAGGGAAUCUUCGGCAAUGGGGGCAACCCUGACCGAGCAACGCCGCGUGAGUGAAGAAGGUUUUCGGAUCGUAAAGCUCUGUUGUAAGUCAAGAACGGGUGUGAGAGUGGAAAGUUCACACUGUGACGGUAGCUUACCAGAAAGGGACGGCUAACUACGUGCCAGCAGCCGCGGUAAUACGUAGGUCCCGAGCGUUGUCCGGAUUUAUUGGGCGUAAAGCGAGCGCAGGCGGUUUGAUAAGUCUGAAGUUAAAGGCUGUGGCUCAACCAUAGUUCGCUUUGGAAACUGUCAAACUUGAGUGCAGAAGGGGAGAGUGGAAUUCCAUGUGUAGCGGUGAAAUGCGUAGAUAUAUGGAGGAACACCGGUGGCGAAAGCGGCUCUCUGGUCUGUAACUGACGCUGAGGCUCGAAAGCGUGGGGAGCGAACAGGAUUAGAUACCCUGGUAGUCCACGCCGUAAACGAUGAGUGCUAGGUGUUGGAUCCUUUCCGGGAUUCAGUGCCGCAGCUAACGCAUUAAGCACUCCGCCUGGGGAGUACGACCGCAAGGUUGAAACUCAAAGGAAUUGACGGGGGCCCGCACAAGCGGUGGAGCAUGUGGUUUAAUUCGAAGCAACGCGAAGAACCUUACCAGGUCUUGACAUCCCGAUGCUAUUUCUAGAGAUAGAAAGUUACUUCGGUACAUCGGUGACAGGUGGUGCAUGGUUGUCGUCAGCUCGUGUCGUGAGAUGUUGGGUUAAGUCCCGCAACGAGCGCAACCCCUAUUGUUAGUUGCCAUCAUUCAGUUGGGCACUCUAGCGAGACUGCCGGUAAUAAACCGGAGGAAGGUGGGGAUGACGUCAAAUCAUCAUGCCCCUUAUGACCUGGGCUACACACGUGCUACAAUGGUUGGUACAACGAGUUGCGAGUCGGUGACGGCGAGCUAAUCUCUUAAAGCCAAUCUCAGUUCGGAUUGUAGGCUGCAACUCGCCUACAUGAAGUCGGAAUCGCUAGUAAUCGCGGAUCAGCACGCCGCGGUGAAUACGUUCCCGGGCCUUGUACACACCGCCCGUCACACCACGAGAGUUUGUAACACCCGAAGUCGGUGAGGUAACCCUUUGGAGCCAGCCGCCUAAGGUGGGACAGAUGAUUGGGGUGAAGUCGUAACAAGGUA